rnacentral:rRNA from 1 species
GAUGAACGCUGGCGGCGUGCCUAAUACAUGCAAGUCGAGCGAACAGACGAGGAGCUUGCUCCUCUGACGUUAGCGGCGGACGGGUGAGUAACACGUGGAUAACCUACCUAUAAGACUGGGAUAACUUCGGGAAACCGGAGCUAAUACCGGAUAAUAUAUUGCACCGCAUGGUUCAAUAGCGAAAGACGGUUUUGCUGUCACUUAUAGAUGGAUCCGCGCCGCAUUAGCUAGUUGGUAAGGUAACGGCUUACCAAGGCAACGAUGCGUAGCCGACCUGAGAGGGUGGUCGGCCACCCGGGAACUGAGACACAGUCCAGACUCCUGCGGGAGGCGGCAGUAGGGAAUCUUCCGCAAUGGGCGAGAGCCUGACAGAGCAACGCCGCGUGAGUGAUGAAGGUCUUCGGAUCGUAAAGCUCUGUUAUUAGGGAAGAACAAAUGUGUAAGUAACUAUGCACGUAUUGACGGUACCUGAUCAGAAAGCCACGGCUAACUACGUG